rnacentral:rRNA from 1 species
UACGGGGGGGGCAAGCGUUGUUCGGAAUUACUGGGCGUAAAGGGCUCGUAGGCGGCCAACUAAGUCAGACGUGAAAUCCCUCGGCUUAACCGGGGAACUGCGUCUGAUACUGGUUGGCUUGAAUCCGGGAGAGGGAUGUGGAAUUCCAGGUGUAGCGGUGAAAUGCGCAGAUAUCGGGAAGAACACCCGUGGCGAAGGCGGCUCUCUGGGACGGUACUGACGCUGAGACGCGAAAGCGUGGGGAGCGAACAGG